GAUGAACGCUGGCAGCGUGCCUAACACAUGCAAGUCGAACGGAGUCCAGCCUUUAAGACCUUCGGGUCAAAGAGGGGAAGACUGAGUGGCGGACGGGUGAGUAACACGUGGGCAACCUGGCUCAUAGAGGGGGAUAACAGAGAGAAAUUUCUGCUAAUACCGCAUAAGCACACACUGCCGCAUGGCAGAGGGUGAAAAGAGAAUCGCUAUGAGAUGGACCCGCGUCUGAUUAGCCAGUUGGCAGGGUAAGAGCCUACCAAAGCGACGAUCAGUAGCCGAUCUGAGAGGAUGAACGGCAACAUUGGGACUGAGACACGGCCCAAACUCCUACGGGAGGCAGCAGUGGGGGAUAUUGCACAAUGGGGGGAACCCUGAUGCAGCGACGCCGCGUGAGUGAAGAAGUAUUUCGGUAUGUAAAGCUCUAUCAGCAGGGAAGAUAAUGACAGUACCUGAAUAAGAAGCCCCGGCUAACUACGUG
rnacentral:rRNA from 1 species